rnacentral:rRNA from 1 species
GAUGAACGCUAGCGGCAGGCCUAAUACAUGCAAGCCGAACGGCAAGUUUUGUAGCAAUACGGAACCUAGAGUGGCGUAAGGGUGCGUAACACGUAUGCAAUCUGCCCUCAACAGGAGGAUAGCUCCCCGAAAGGGGAAUUAAGCCUCCAUGGGAUCGUAGGGAGGCAUCUUCCAGCGAUUAAAUUACAAGAGGUUGAGGAUGAGCAUGCGCAUGAUUAGAGUUGGCGGGGUAACGGCCCACCAAGACGAUGAUCAUUAGGGGAACUGAGAGG